CCUACGGGUGGCAGCAGUGGGGAAUAUUGCACAAUGGGGGAAACCCUGAUGCAGCGACGCCGCGUGAGUGAGGAAGUAUUUCGGUACGUAAUGCUCUAUCAGCAGGGAAGAAAAUGACGGUACCUGACUAAGAAGCCCCGGCUAACUACGUGCCAGCAGCCGCGGUAAUACGUAGGGGGCAAGCGUUAUCCGGAUUUACUGGGUGUAAAGGGAGCGUAGACGGCUAAUCAAGUCAGGAGUGAAAACCCAUGGCUGAACUAUGGAACUGCUUUGGAAACUGUGUAGCUGGAGUGCAGGAGAGGGAAGCGGAAGGUCUAGUGUAGCGGGGAAAUGCGGAGAUAUUAGGAGGAACACCAGUGGCGAAGGCGGCUUACGGGACUGUAACUGACGUUGAGGCUCGAAAGCGUGGGGAGCAAACAGGAUUAGAGACCCUUGUAGUC
rnacentral:rRNA from 1 species